CAGCCCCAAUCGGGCGGUAA
rnacentral:snRNA from 1 species